rnacentral:pre_miRNA from 1 species
AGUGCAGUUGCUGGGUUGCAUGGUAAGUGCAUGUUUAGUUUUGUAAGAAACUGCCAAACUGUUUCUUAGAGUGACUGUACAGUGUUACAUUCCCACCAGCAAU